CUGAAAUGUACUCAUUGACUCAGACAGACACAUUUCAACUGCUACCGUUGAGUUUGGACGACUACAAUCCUUCAAUAAGUUACUGAGGCCUGAAAGGACCCUACUCAAAGACAUGGGCUCUAGAGUACAUCAAUAAGUUAGCAUGAUGACAAUUUACAAACAGGGAGGAAUUCCAUCUCCUUGCACUCAUGAAGUUGUUUAUUUCAUUGAAAUCAAAGGGGCUUUUGCUUUGUCUCAACGAUUAACACUGUGCCGUUCGUUAUGUUUAACAGUGCGAGCAUGAUUCUUGACAGAAAUGAAGGGUAAAUUCCUAACGUGCCAAACCUGUCUGCUGUACGUGUGUGAGUAAAACUGUGAUGCCAUCUUUGCAAGGGACCAACCAGUAUGUUGUACAACAAGGUAAUCAGGCUGUGUCAACAAACCCACAGAAACAAAAGUGUGAAUGGAAACUCGUCUCUUCACACUCAAGGUGCAUACAUCCAUCUUUAGAUGAAGCGUAUCUUGAUUUGGGCUCUGCUUUGCAGCCAUACUAUACUAUAUCAGAUGCUCAGAUCCUCCACUUACAUCACAUAGGGUCAGAGGGUGUGGCAGGUCUGCCAGAAUUCAUGGGGUCGUGGAGUGUAGAUGACAAAACCAUCCUCCAGUAUGACAGUAACACCAUGCACAUGGACGCUGACGCCCCAAUACCUGAUUGGCUCAGCAGCAACUAGGGUCCCUCUCAUUGGAGGAGAAUGAACUUCAUCUCCAGAAUGAUUCGCAGGUUUUUGGCUAUCACCUUGACUAUGAUUGAGCAGCAUGAUAACCUUACAGCUUCCCCUCAUCAGGCUCGGCUCUUCCAAACUCAAGACUACUGCAAACUGAACCCUGAUGGUACAGUGCACACCUCUGUCAGCCAUGGCUACAACAGGAGGGAUUUUGUGACCUUUGUCAUCCCAGCCAGGACGUGGGCGGCUGCAGUCCCUCAAGCUGUCCACUUGGUAAAGUGUAGAGCCAAUAAAGCAUUUGAUCGGGAGAGCCUUUACUACCACUACAACUAUGAGUGAAUGGAACGGCUAAAGACCAUUUUGAAGUACGCACAACAAAAAAAUGUAGACAGACAGUAUAGAAUUCUUGAAAUGCAAAUUAUGUCAGUGGUAGAGACAAUGUUGACAACACUGAACGUUGAGGUGGCUUGAUCACAGCUGGCCUUCUCGCAGUCCCUGAGUUAAGUGUUAUU